rnacentral:rRNA from 1 species
AGUUGGUGCCAUAUCACCUUGUCAAUGCCUGAUCUGAUCUCAGAAGCUGAGCAGGGUUGGGCCAGGGUAGUACUUGGAUCUAAGACCUGGUGCCACAGUGA